rnacentral:rRNA from 1 species
GACGAACGCUGGCGGCGCGCUUAACACAUGCAAGUCGAACGGAAAGGCCUGCUUUCCCUUGUGGAUUGCGGGUACUCGAGUGGCGAACGGGUGAGUAACACGUGAGUGAUCUGCCCCCAACUUGGGUAUAAGCCUGGGAAACUGGGUCUAAUUCCCGAUAGGACUGCAGGGUGGUGCCUGUGGUGGAAAACGAUUUUCUAGUGGUUGGGGAUGAGCUCGCGGCCUAUCAGCUUGUUGGUGGGGUAAUGGCCUACCAAGGCGGCGACGGGUAGCCGGCCUGAGAGGGUGGACGGCCACAUUGGGACUGAGAUACGGCCCAGACGCGUACGGGAGGCAGCAGUGGGGAAUAUUGCACAAUGGGCGGAAGCCUGAUGCAGCGACGCCGCGUGGGGGAUGACGGCCUUCGGGUUGUAAACUCCUUUCGACCGCGAGGAAGCCACCUGGUUGGAAGGGUGGUGACGGUAGUGGUAGAAGAAGCACCGGCUAACUACGUG